rnacentral:rRNA from 1 species
CAGUAGCCGCGGUAAUACGAAGGGGGCUAGCGUUGUUCGGAAUUACUGGGCGUAAAGCGCACGUAGGCGGAUCUUUAAGUCAGAGGUGAAAUCCCAAGGCUCAACCUUGGAACUGCCUUUGAUACUGGGGAUCUCGAGUUCGGGAGAGGUGAGUGGAACUGCGAGUGUAGAGGUGAAAUUCGUAGAUAUUCGCAAGAACACCAAUGGCGAAGGCGGCUCACUGGCCCGAUACUGACGCUGAGGUGCGAAAGCGUGGGGAGCAAACAGGAUUAGAUACCCCAGUAGUCCCUGUCUCUUAUAA